UACGGGGGGAGCAAGCGUUGUUCGGAUUUACUGGGCGUAAAGGGCGCGUAGCGGCGCAACAAGUCACUUGUGAAAUCUCCGGGCUUAACCCGGAGCGGUCAAGUGAUACUGUCGUGCUAGAGUGCGGAAGGGGCUACUGGAAUUCUCGGUGUAGCGGUGAAAUGCGUAGAUAUCGAGAGGAACACCUGCGGCGAAGGCGGGUAGCUGGGCCGACACUGACGCUGAUGCGCGAAAGCCAGGGGAGCGAACGGG
rnacentral:rRNA from 1 species